ACGAACGCUGGCGGCGUGCCUAAUACAUGCAAGUAGAACGCUGAAGAGAGGAGCUUGCUCUUCUUGGAUGAGUUGCGAACGGGUGAGUAACGCGUAGGUAACCUGCCUUGUAGCGGGGGAUAACUACUGGAAACGAUAGCUAAUACCGCAUAACAAUGGAUGACACAUGUCAUUUAUUUGAAAGGGGCAAUUGCUCCACUACAAGAUGGACCUGCGUUGUAUUAGCUAGUAGGUGAGGUAAUGGCUCACCUAGGCGACGAUACAUAGCCGACCUGAGAGGGUGAUCGGCCACACUGGGACUGAGACACGGCCCAGACUCCUACGGGAGGCAGCAGUAGGGAAUCUUCGGCAAUGGGGGCAACCCUGACCGAGCAACGCCGCGUGAGUGAAGAAGGUUUUCGGAUCGUAAAGCUCUGUUGUAAGUCAAGAACGGGUGUGAGAGUGGAAAGUUCACACUGUGACGGUAGCUUACCAGAAAGGGACGGCUAACUACGUG
rnacentral:rRNA from 1 species